rnacentral:misc_RNA from 1 species
GACUCGACCCCUCGGGUUUCCGAUCGGGUUGGAUGUGGGUGUUGCCGACUGUGGCUUGCCUUAAAUCUGUCAGUGGUACCAGCGACCGAACCAGGCUUAAUAAGUUUCGUCUGAACUAGGCCGCCAUCGCCGCCCAUAAUCGCCCUCGGGCACCUUUUGACUCUGACCUCAAAUCAGGUAGGACUACCCGCUGAACUUAA